CAGCAGAACCAUAACCUGCUCCAAGAACACCAAAGGUAUUUCCCACCAAACCAUAUCCAACACCAGCCGGAUAACUUGGAAGUAGACGUGACUUUGGUAAAUUUGACACUCCAACAGACUUCUGAUCUGCCUGAGGUUUUGCAAGAGAACAUUCCAAAACUUGGCCAUCUAGUUUGUAUUUUUCAGUAUUUUUCAGUACUUUCAUAGCACUAGACCUCUCUGUAAAAUGCACAAAACCAAUUCUAUUCUUCUCCUGGCCAGACUUCGCGGGUGGCAAAACCACUUUUGUAAUUUCUCCAUAGUGUUCAAAUAGCUUCUUCAACUGAUCUUGGGUUGUAUUCUUUGGUAAAUUCUUUACAUAUAUUGCCUUAACCUGUGAAGAAGCAGAAGAAUCAGCAUUUUUCGGAUCAGCCCAGCUUACAGUAGGAGCAUUAUUGCCCAGUCUAAAUUUUGGGUUCAUCAUCUUCUGCCUUGAAUACUCAGCACAUGCAUUAUUAUAGUAGUCAAUGAAAGCAAAGCCCCUGUUAUUACUUGUCUUCAUAUCCUUAACCAAUUCCACAGCAGUGACUCCAGGCCCAGCCUCCAUCACAACCUUCCUCAAAUCUUCCAGUUCCCAGUUUCUGGGAACAUUGCCAAGGAAUAGCCGAUGCUUUGAUUGAGAUGUUGAACAUUUAAUUCUUUUACCCUUGAAUUCAGUAUUAUUCAGCUUAUCAAUGGCUUUAGAGGCCAAAUCAACAUUUCUAAAGGUCACAAAUGCAAAGCCUUUGUUCUCAUU
rnacentral:misc_RNA from 1 species